GCCACUGCUCGCACCCGCUGCUGGUGCCCGGCGCUGGUCUUGAUCACUUGGCACCAUCAGCGGGUGCGAGCAGUGGCUG
rfam:Myotis brandtii contig300298, whole genome shotgun sequence.